UUUCUGACGGUGGCUCGUGUCG
rnacentral:miRNA from 1 species